rnacentral:rRNA from 1 species
GAUGAACGCUAGCUACAGGCUUAACACAUGCAAGUCGAGGGACCGGCGCACGGGUGAGUAACACGUAUCCAACCUGCCCUUUACUCGGGGAUAGCCUUUCGAAAGAAAGAUUAAUACCCGAUAUAAAGGAUGGGGAUGCGGUCCAGUAGGUUGUUGGUGAGGUAACGGCGCACCAAGCCUUCGAUGGAUAGGGGGUCUGAGAGGAAGGUCCCCCGCAAUGGAACAGAGGCACGGUCCAAACUCCUACGGGAGGCAGCAGUGAGGAAUAUUAGUCAAUGGGCGGUAGCCUGAACCAGCCAAGUAGCGUGAAGGAUGAAGGCUUAUGGGUCGUAAACUUCUUUUAUAUAAGAAUAUGUAUUAUAUGAAUAAGGAUCGGCUAACUACGUGCCAGCAGCCGCGGUAAUUC